UACGUAGGAUGCAAGCGUUGUCCGGAAUUAUUGGGCGUAAAGAGCGCGCAGGCGGUCUAUCAAGUCAGAUGUGAAAUAUCCCGGCUUAACCGGGAGGGGUCAUUUGAAACUGGUAGACUAGAGUACAGCAGAGGAUAGUGGAAUUCCCGGUGUAGUGGUGAAAUGCGUAGAUAUCGGGAGGAACACCAGUGGCGAAGGCGACUAUCUGGGCUGAAACUGACGCUGAGGCGCGAAGGCUAGGGGGAGCAAACAGG
rnacentral:rRNA from 1 species